GUCCAAGUUUUUACGGGGGGCAGCAGUGGGAAUAUUCCAAAUGGGCGCAAGCUUGAUCAGCCAUGCCGGGUUAUGAAGAAGGCCUUCGGGUUGUAAAGUAUUUUCAGCAGUGAGGAAGGUGGGUAUGUUAAUAGCAUACACAUUUGACGUUAGCUGCAGAAGAAGCACCGGCUAAUUCCGUGCCAGCAGCCGCGGUAAUACGGAGGGUGCGAGCGUUAAUCGGAAUUACUGGGCGUAAAGCGCAUGCAGGUGGUUUGUUAAGUCAGAUGUGAAAGCCCGGGGCUCAACUUCGGAAUUGCAUUUGAAACUGGCAAACUAGAGUACUGUAGAGGGGGGUAGAAUUUCAGGUGUAGCGGUGAAAUGCGUAGAGAUCUGAAGGAAUACCGGUGGCGAAGGCGGCCCCCUGGACAGAUACUGACACUCAGAUGCGAAAGCGUGGGGAGCAAACAGGAUUAGAUACCCUGGUAGUCCACGCCGUAAACGAUGUCUACUUAGAGGUUGUGGCCUUGAGCCGUGGCUUUCGGAGCUAACGCGUUAAGUAGACCGCCUGGGGAGUACGGUCGCAAGAUUAAAACUCAAAUGAAUUGACGGGGGCCCGCACAAGCGGUGGAGCAUGUGGUUUAAUUCGAUGCAACGCGAAGAACCUUACCUACUCUUGACAUCUACAGAAGCCAGCGGAGACGCAGGUGUGCCUUCGGGAACUGUAAGACAGGUGCUGCAUGGCUGUCGUCAGCUCGUGUUGUGAAAUGUUGGGUUAAGUCCCGCAACGAGCGCAACCCUUAUCCUUGUUUGCCAGCACUUCGGGUGGGAACUCCAGGGAGACUGCCGGUGAUAAACCGGAGGAAGGUGGGGACGACGUCAAGUCAUCAUGGCCCUUACGAGUAGGGCUACACACGUGCUACAAUGGCGCAUACAGAGGGCGGCCAACUUGCGAAAGUGAGCGAAUCCCAAAAAGUGCGUCGUAGUCCGGAUUGGAGUCUGCAACUCGACUCCAUGAAGUCGGAAUCGCUAGUAAUCGUGGAUCAGAAUGCCACGGUGAAUACGUUCCCGGGCCUUGUACACACCGCCCGUCACACCAUGGGAGUGGGCUGCAAAAGAAGUGGGUAGUUUAACCUUCGGGAGGACGCUCACCACUUUGUGGUUCAUGACUGGGGUGAAGUCGUAACAAGGUAGCCG
rnacentral:rRNA from 1 species